CCUACGGGUGGCAGCAGUGAGGAAUAUUGGUCAAUGGGCGUAAGCCUGAACCAGCCAAGUCGCGUGAGGGAUGAAGGUUCUAUGGAUCGUAAACCUCUUUUAUAAGGGAAUAAAGUGUGGGACGUGUCCUGUUUUGUAUGUACCUUAUGAAUAAGGAUCGGCUAACUCCGUGCCAGCAGCCGCGGUAAUACGGAGGAUCCGAGCGUUAUCCGGAUUUAUUGGGUUUAAAGGGUGCGUAGGCGGCCUGUUAAGUCAGUGGUGAAAGUCUGUGGCUCAACCAUAAAAUUGCAGUUGAGACUGGGAGGCUUGAGUAUGUUUGAGGCAGGCGGAAUGCGUGGUGUAGCGGUGAAAUGCUUAGAUAUCACGAAGAACCCCGAUUGCGAAGGCAGCCUGCCAAGCCAUGACUGACGCUGAUGCACGAAAGCGUGGGGAUCAAACAGGAUUAGAUACCCUGGUAGUC
rnacentral:rRNA from 1 species